rnacentral:rRNA from 1 species
GUGUCAGCAGCCGCGGUAAUACGUAGGGUGCAAGCGUUAAUCGGAAUUACUGGGCGUAAAGCGUGCGCAGGCGGUUAUAUAAGACAGAUGUGAAAUCCCCGAGCUUAACUUGGGAACUGCAUUUGUGACUGUAUAGCUAGAGUACGGCAGAGGGGGAUGGAAUUCCGCGUGUAGCAGUGAAAUGCGUAGAUAUGCGGAGGAACACCGAUGGCGAAGGCAAUCCCCUGGGCCUGUACUGACGCUCAUGCACGAAAGCGUGGGGAGCAAACAGGAUUAGAUACCCUUGUAGUCC